rnacentral:misc_RNA from 1 species
UCCGGUUUGUCACCGGCAGUCUCGCAUGAGUCCCCGGCCGAACCGCUGGCAACAUGCAAUAGGGGUUGCGCUCGUUGCGGGACUUAACCCGACACUUCACAGCACGAGCUGACGACAGCCAUGCAGCAUCUGUGGCCCACCCUCGAAGGCGUCUCCCUUUCAGGAGCUUGCAGGGCCAUGUCAAACCUGGGUAAGGUUCUGCGCGUUGCGUCGAAUUAAACCACACGCUCCGCUGCUUGUGCGGGCCCCCGUCAAUUCCUUUGAGUUUUAAGCUUGCGCUCGUAGUUCCCAGGCGGGCCACUUCCCGCGUUAGCUAAGGCCCCCACGGACGGAGAUUCCGCCCCCAAAGGCCGAGUGGCCAUCGUUUACGGCGUGGACUAC